UACGUAGGGGGCAAGCGUUGUCCCGAUUUAUUGGGCGUAAAGAGCGUGUAGGCGGCCAUACAGGUCCGUUGUGAAAACUGGAGGCUUAACCUCCAGACGUCGAUGGAAACCGUAUGGCUAGAGUCCGGAAGAGGAGAGUGGAAUUCCUGGUGUAGCGGUGAAAUGCGCAGAUAUCAGGAAGAACACCCGUGGCGAAGGCGGCUCUCUGGGACGGUACUGACGCUGAGACGCGAAAGCGUGGGGAGCGAACAGG
rnacentral:rRNA from 1 species